UACGUAGGGUGCGAGCGUUGUCCGGAAUUAUUGGGCGUAAAGAGCUUGUAGGUGGUUUGUCGCGUCUGCUGUGAAAAUCCGAGGCUCAACCUCGGACUUGCAGUGGGUACGGGCAGACUAGAGUGUGGUAGGGGAGACUGGAAUCCUGGUGUAGCGGUGAAAUGCGCAGAUAUCAGGAGGAACACCGAUGGCGAAGGCAGGUCUCUGGGCAUUAACUGACGCUGAGGAGCGAAAGCAUGGGGAGCGAACAGG
rnacentral:rRNA from 1 species